rnacentral:rRNA from 1 species
AGAGUUUGAUCCUGGCUCAGAAUCAACGCUGGCGGCGCGUCUCUACAUGCAGAUCGCACCUGAGAAAGGGAGCAAUCCUUCAGUAAAGUGGCGCCCGCGCGAGUAACAGGUGAAUCAUACAGUCUUAGGAGGGGAAUAACACUGGGAAACCGGGCUAAUACCGCAUAAGCUCCGUGCCAGAGGAUUUUAAGCACGCCUAAUCGUCUUACCGACGGAGGAGCCAGCAGCGUAUUAGCUAAUCGGUGGGGUAAUGGCUCAUCCAAGCGAAGAUCGGAAACCCGUCCAGAAUAGCGCACGGCCACACUGGCACUGAAACACGGGCCAGACUCCUACGCGAGGCACCAGUGGGGAAUCUUGCACAAUGGGGGAAAUCCUGAUGCAGCGACGUCGUGUAAGUCAGAAAGGCCUUCGGGGUGUAAAGCUCUUUCGACAGGAAAGAUAACAUGCAAGGUACCUGGAGAAGAAGCUGCAGCAUAUAACUACGUGCCAGCAGCCGCAGUAAUACGUAAGCGCACGCUUCGUUCGGAAUUACUGGGCACGAAGCCUGUGUAGGCGGAUUCGGCGGCUUGGUGUGAAAUCCCCUCCAACAGAGCUCUACAAUCCGAGGGGUGCGCCGAAAACU